AAAAAGAUAAGCUAAUUAAGCUAGUGGGUUCAUACCCCAUUUAUAAAAGUUUUAACCUUUUUCUUUUUA
rnacentral:tRNA from 1 species